rnacentral:lncRNA from 1 species
CAUCUUGACACUUCUCACCAAACCCUGAAGGAGGGGAGAGGCGCCCACCACAGUGGCCUUUUUGUGCAGUCGAGAACUAACACGUGAGAGGCCGCCAGAGGCUACAUGAGGGGGAACUGAGGCCCAGCGCUGCGGCUGGGUCCCCGCAGGCUGCUGGGCGCCGGACGCCUCACAGAAGGGCAGGGUGCGCGAGGAAGGAAGUCUUUCCAAGCCUUCCCCUUCUAAUGUGGGGUCCUUCUACGCCCAGAGUCCCAUGCGUCCCACUCUUCCCAAGGCCCCUGCAGUGUGAUGGCUCUCACACCUACCUCUUCCAUACCCUCCUCCCACCUGCCUCCCAGCUCCCCCGCGAAAACCCAUGGUCAGAACAGACAGCGCACGGACACCUCCCACGGUGUGGUUUCCUCAGGGUCUGGGAUGGCCCUAACACAAGCGCAGUGACCAAAACCCUAUACGCUGACACCCCGAUAUCUACCCUCGCCCCUUCCCAAACUUACAUGGGGCAGCCGGUCCUCUUGAUUCUAGAUCUUAACUACAGCUUGCGUUCUUCUGCACUUCCAUUUUGUGUUCGGCUUUAGAGAUUUCAUUGUCUCUGGCCUAUGUGUGUGUGUGUGCAUAGAUAUAGAUGUGUAUAUAUGUGUGUGGGUAUAUAUGUAUACAGGAGUAUGUAUGUGUGUAUCUGAGUGUAUACACACAUGCACAUGCAUACAUGAAAUACUAAGCAUAUAAAAAGUAUACAUAUGGGUGUGUAUAUAUAUGCUUUUUUUUUUUAACCUUAGAUGCUUGAUAUUACUUAAGAUGCACCCUUCAGGGAAACGAUGCAACAUCUAAACUCUUGAUUUGUAGAUUUUACUUGGCACCUUUCAAUCUGCUUUGUGUUACAGGUACUUGUUCACAUCCUGAAGCCCUGAUAAUUCUGAUAAUCCUGCUGACUUCCUGAGGAAGGCACCAUGUCUGUACUUGUCUGCUUUAAGGCACCUAGCACAAGGCCUUUCUUGUUGUGAAUGUUCAAUAAACAUUUAAGUUAAGGGAAAGAAAGCCCCAUAAAGCAUAUCACAAAAACUUAGAGCAAACUUCAAAGUGGAGAGAUGUUAGAAAAAAACAUUAUAAAUCAGCUCACAAGGACUUAGUAUCUCCACUUGUAUUCAGUAUUGAUCAUUAAACUGGAGAUUAAAGUCAAUUGGGGGGAGAGAGGGAGGGAGAAGGAAGGGAGGAAGACAAAAUAUAAAGAUUGGAAAGAAGGGGGAAAGUAUAAUUGUACAGAGACGAUGUAAUUACCUAUAUCCAAAAAGUGAAAGACUCUAUAGAGAGCUUGUAAAACAGUUAGCAAGGUUGCUAAAUUUAAAAUCAACAUAUAUAAGUCAAUUACAUUUCAAAACACUAAUUAUAAAAAAAUAGAGAUAUAUUUUUAAAUUUAUUUUUAAGCAACAGCUUUUACAAAAGUAGGGACAGACAAAUGUAAGUAAUAGCAAAUCUAGCAAAAUGUGGACUAAUUUAGUGGAUUAAGUUAUAUAAGACUAUAAAUCCUGAAAAGUUGAAGAUGCAUCAUGUUUAUGAAUAGAAGACUAAAUAUCAUAAUAUUGUCAAUUGUAUGAAUCCAAUGUAAUUCUAAUUAAAAUCUUAACUGGAGUUUCCAUAGAUGGUGACAAAAUGGGAAUUGACUAGAUUAUUCCUUCCAGCCAAGCUUGCAUAGUAGGGACCAGAUUUAUCUUAUACCUGAAGUAACAGAACUAUGCACAAAGAAUAUGGAAUGCUGGUAUUUAUGAUAGUGGACAUAAGACAGCUGAGGAUUGUGGUCCCUGAGAGACACAGUAAAGGAGGCGAGCCCUGUGCUCACCCAGACUGGCUGCCAGAGUUUCUACACUAGGGUGCAGAGGUGCAUGGGGGAGUCAGGUGGAUGCAGGACAUGGGUCUGCUAGUCCCCAGAGACCGGGAGGCUAGGGUAUGCAGGAUAAGAUACCAGAGAGCAGGGAGCUUCCCAGAGAUGGUACCCUGGAAGAUCUUCAGAGAGCCCCUGGAGUGCACAGGUAAGCACCCACCUGCAGAUGCAGGUUGCAGGAAAUGCCCGGAUGGAGGAAAGAGAGGCCUGAGACAACUGCAGGUAAGAGAGCCUGGUGGCACACACUACUAGGGAGAAAACCCCAGAUCCCUUGGUCACUGGAGAAGCACCUGGGAGGUCUUCUCUCAGAAGCAGGAAAUAAGUAGCCCUUGCCUGAGCACUGCUCCACUACCAUCGGACAAACUGGAAAAGCAAAAACAGGAGAGGUAGGGCGUGGUGGUGCACAACGGUAAUCCUAGCAGCAUGGGAGGCCAAGGCAGGAGGAUCCUGAGUUCAAAGCAGCCUCAGCAAAAACGAGGCACUAUGCAACUCAGUGAGACCCUGUCUCUAAAUAAAAUACAAAGUAGGGCUGGGGAUGUGGCUCAGUGGUCGAAUGUCCCUGAGUUCAAUCUUGGGUACCCUCUGCCCCCGGCAGGGGGGAAAAAAAAGAAACUAGAGAGCUCAAACUACUUAAAUGUGGCUGAACGGCCUCUCAAACAAAGUUGGAGAAUAUUUAUAGGAAAACCAAAAUAUCUAGCACCCAAAAAGGUAAAAUUCAAAAUGUCUGGUACGUAAUGGAAAGUCAUCAGGUACACAGAGAAGCAGGAAAACUUUGGUUCCUCCACCAUUUCUUUCUUGGUUAUUCUUCUGUUAAUAAUACACCCACUUCAAAAUUUAUUUUAAAGCUGUAAUAAUUGGGGCAGGCAAGACAAAGGAAUCAGUGAAAGAGAGAAAAAAGAACCAGAAAAGGCCCUGUUACUAUUUGGAAAAAGUACAUUUUACAGCUGGCAUUGCAGACCAAGGGGGAAAGUCAAAACCAGCACAUGGUGCUGGGAUUAGGCAGAUGAAAAAGAAACUGUGACCUCACCUCACAUAAUAAACAAAAUUUAUGUGCAGUUAGGUUAAACAUUAGAAUAGAAAAGAAAACUUCAACAUCUUUAGAAGAUACAAUCCUUUUGAAUUGGGGCUAAAAAGUGUUCUUUACAACAAAAACCAUGAACUGUAAAUACGAUUGGUCCAUUUAAUGGUGCUGUGAUUUCAAUCGCUGUUAACCAGAGGAUACCAUGAUCCAGCUGAGGGGGUGUCUUCAACACAUGCAAGUGACAAAGGACUUGCAUCCAGGAUAUAAAAAGAGACCAAACGGGAAAGCAAGUCAGGACAAAAAGAUAAAUAGUUUACAGAAGAGGAAACAUAGACAGCCACAAAAUACCCAAGAUGUUCACCUACACUGAUAGUCAAAGUGCCAAUGAAGGUCAAGGGGUAUUCCCAGGAAGAUGGAGGCAGGUGGAGAGGACCCAGGACUCCCUUGCCUCUGCUCCUCAGGGUGGAAUGUGGCUUUGCCCAAGGGAGCUUCCUGUGCUGGGCGUGGUGACAUUGCAGCAGAAGGCUGUGGAAACAGGAGCUCUCUGCUUGCCAGCCGUGGGUGCUUGCCCAUCGCCGCUGUCUCUACCAUGCUAAGAGGAUGUGAGAGCCAUUGGGCAUUCAGGAGCCUCGCCAGCAGACCUUCUGCAAUGACAGUGAGCGCUUUCUCCUGGAAGGCCUCACAGACGGGUUGAUGGGAUUAGACAGCAUGCCUUUCUCAGAAGGCACACGGCCACUUAGGCAAAGAUGAAAGUGGUGUUUUGGGGAAAAUGCCAAGCUGCAAAUCUGAGGUGGAGAAGAUAUUCCAUUAACCUCAGAUCUACAAGGCUGUCUAUUAAUUUCGAAUGAUAAAGGAUGUCAGAUAAAGCCAAUUAGCAUAAAACACUCUUAGUCAGCUUUGCAAACCUUCAACAAAUAGCACAAAGGAUGAAGGACAUUUGGGGAUGAGGCUUUUCCAGGGGACAAUUAGAAGUGACAGUGUCUCCACUUCCUUUUGUCUUGUGUAGUCCACGUGCUAAGUCCUCAGGCAACUACUAGGUGACUUUCUGCACCCGUGCUUCCUCCUGCCUGCUCCCUCCUUUGUGGUUUAAUGCCUUGGAUCCUUUUGCAGAAGAGACCAGUGGUGGCAUGUUCUUCCAGGGAAGGACACAUGAUUGCAUCUGAUAUCCAGAGGACAGAGAAUGCCUCCACCUGCUGGGAACUUAGUCUUUGAAAUUCUCGAUGCACCUGGAGCAGUGACAUUUCCUCUUGGGGCAGUUUCCACACUUAAGAGUAAGGACAGAGAUACCAGGGCAAGCACAGUGCCAGUGGAACUCCUGUGCUGGUGACCCUGUUUUCCCAAAGCCUCUCCCUCUACAUCCUUGCAGGUAGAGUUUUGAAUGGUUCUGAGUAGAUCAACGUGGAUGACACCAGACACAACUCAGGUGUGGAAUUUUCCCCUCAGUGAAAACCUGGAGGAAAGGAUCAGGCCUUGCUCAUCUGUUUUUCCAGUGCCUGGCAUAGAAUGGGUGCUAGAUAAUAAUUUUUGACUGAAUAAAGCUAUGCACACCAAACAAGUAAAGUAUGAGUGACAGUAUCUUGUAUAGUAAUUGCCAAAUGUAAUGCUGACUAUGAGAGCUACAGAAGCCAAAUCAUGUGGGGAUGUGAUGAUAAUUAUUAUUAUAAUUAUAGCCAGUGUCUAAUGACUGUUCACUGUGUACCAGGUAUUUCCUUGGUGCUUUACAUUAUUCAGUUACAAGAGUCACACUUGUUUAGCUAAGGCAAUGUCCUAACAAACUCAAUAACAUACAAUGGCUCAAGUGCAAUGGAACUUUUUGUUGAUCCAAGUCUGCCGCAGUCCGGCUGCAGCAAACUAGCUGGGGGGUGACGAACAACUUGUGUACAUUGAUACAGCAGGAGAGAGAGCCGUUUAUUGUAGGACAGGAGCGGUAUUUAUACAUUCCACAUAGCUUAUCUUAAUUAGCAUAAACUAGAUACAUUAGUCAACCAAUAAGGAAUCUCCACACUUAAUGGCUCGCUUUUGUUACUUCUCAAACCACUCCCUCUGGCAUUUUGCCAGGCACCAUCCAGACUUGUUUAGGAACUCUAACGUUCCCCUGGCAAAAUGCCAGGUGUUAUUUUGACUUGUUUACAGACUCUAACACAAGUCCAGUAGGAAAAGUUCUCCCUGAUGGAGACCCAGGAUCCACUCCUCUCUCCUUCAUUUGCAGUGUGUGGCUUCCUGGAAUGUUCUGGGCAUGGACAUCCAACUAGCAAAGGAGACAUGAGCAGGUAUGGAAGUUUAAAACCACACUUGCUCAUGGUGAAUAACCACCACCCACCCGACAGAGGCAGCAGGGGCUGGGAAAUGCAGUUCCUGGCCAGGCAGCCUCUUCACAGAACAGCUCUACUACUGUAUGGAAGGGGAACAGGAAUCAUCUGUCCUCGUGUACCUUGAUUAUCUUGAUCAUCACAAGUACCAGUGUGCUACUUGAAUUUAGUGAUCAAGGGCAGGGUUGCUAAAUGUCCCUUAACAGCUAAGACAAGUCUUACUGUAAAAGAAUUGUUCCAUCAAAAGCUAGAGGUGUCCCCAUGUGACAGAGCAUGCUGAGAGUAAGCUGGCAGAGUGGUGUGAGGAGUGUCUUCUGGGUCCAAGGUUCCUGACUGUGCUCAGCUCUGCCUCUCACGAGCCAGGCAGAAAAAGUCAGGUUAAUGA